GACGAACGCUGGCGGCGUGGAUUAGGCAUGCAAGUCGAACGGUAUCAUCCUUUCGGGGGUGAGAGAGUGGCGAACUGGUGAGUAACACGUAGGUUAUCUACCCUCAAGACGGGGACAACCCAGGGAAACUUGGGCUAAUACCGGAUGUGAGCAACUUUUAGUUGUUUGAAAGGUGGCGUAAGCUGUCGCUUGGGGAUGAGCCUGCGUCCUAUUAGUUAGUUGGUGAGGUAACGGCUCACCUAGGCAAUGAUAGGUAGGCGACCUUAACGGGUGGUCGCCCACACUGGGAUUGAGAUACGGCCCAGACUCCUACGGGAGGCAGCAGUCGAGAAUAGUCUACAAUGGUCGGAAGACUGAUAGUGCGACGCCGCGUGAACGAUGAAUCCCUUCGGGGUGUAAAGUUCUUUUAUAUGUGAGCAGUGCUUCUUAUAUUAACAGUAUGGGGAGAGAGAUAUUAGCAUAUGAAUAAGCAACGGCUAACUCCGUGCCAGCAGCCGCGGUAAACUCG
rnacentral:rRNA from 1 species